GAGAGUAAAUUUUAUUGCCUGCAAGAAGUUGUUUGAUUAGGUUACAUUUUAAGAAUAUGUUGAUUUAGGUUUUUGGGGCUCUCAUUUUGACCUCAUCACAAAAUUAAGGCCUUAGGGUAAUUAUAAUUCACAUAUAAUUCAUUUGUGUGUUAGCUAUCUCCUUCCCUUGGUGUUGAGAAGUCAAUUUUGAUUAGGGCUGAAACUGAAAUAG
rnacentral:lncRNA from 1 species